UACAGAGGGUGCAAGCGUUAAUCGGAAUUACUGGGCGUAAAGCGCGCGUAGGUGGUUUGUUAAGUUGAAUGUGAAAUCCCCGGGCUCAACCUGGGAACUGCGUCUGAUACUGGAUGGCUUGAAUUCGGGGGAGGGAUGCAGAAUUCCAGGUGUAGCGGUGAAAUGCGUAGAUAUCGGGAGGAACACCGGUGGCGAAGGCGGCGAUCUGGGUCGAUACUGACGCUGAGGUGCGAAAGCGUGGGGAGCAAACAGG
rnacentral:rRNA from 1 species